rnacentral:sRNA from 1 species
GCCGGGCAUGGUGGCCCAUGCCUGUAAUCCCAGCUACUCAGGAGGCUGAGGCAGGAGAAUCGCUUGAGCCCAGGAGGCAGAGGUUGCGGUGAGCCAAGAUCACGCCACUGCACUCCAGUCUGGGCAACAAGAGCGAAAUCCCGUCUCAA